AUUUGGGAAAAUAAACAAGUAGAGAAGAAACAACUCCCGCUCUAGUUUUUCCUGAGGCGCUUUUAUUUUUUCAUUCAUUCAUUUUUUUUCCGUCUGGCGCUUUUUUAUAUUUUUUUCCCUUUUCUUUUUUCAUUCAUUCAUUAAUAUUUUUUUUUUUUAAUUUUGUCUGCCAUCUGAGAAAACAGGGCUUCUCUUCCUCCGUCCCGCAGGCGAAACUAUCCGCCACUUCUCUGGCCUCAGUUUGUGAAGACUCGCAUCUCACACCAGGACUCGUUAGAUGAAUAAGUGCAUGUAGUGGUGGUUGAUUGUUAAAGGAAGGGAGUAACAACAAGCAAAGAAUCGUUUGAGUUGUUUUGAUCAAAAAGAGGGUCGAUGAUGCAGUGCCAAUUUCUACGAGUCAUGGGUGUGAAGAGAUUCAGUGGUGGAGAGAUUCAUGGUCAUACUCCAGGAUUACAUUAAGGUUUGAAUUGACUUCGUUGGCAUGCUUGUUAGCUGCAAGCCUACAAGUGCGAGAGAACAACUAUUUCCCUCGGGUAACUAUUCUUACCGUAGUGAAUCUGCUGGGCAAAACUAUUUGGCGUAUUCAUGAAGAUAGUUUUGAACCAAUUGUAAAAGCAAUUGAAGAAAAUAUAAUUGGCUGAGCGAUGUCACAAUUGUUUGUUCAAUGAGCAGCUUAAGUCAUAAUUCUACGUUUGCGGCAUUUACGGUGUUGUUGCGUUUGUAGAACUUGGAAUUUUUGGUAUUGUUUUUUACAACCCUCUUUCUGUUUCGUACAACCUUUCAUACACACGUUGAGAUACAUAAACUGUAUUAUAUUUCAUGGAUUUUGUACUUUUGUGUCUUUUGAAUAUGUUAGGAAAUAUUUAAUCAAUUCUCUCUUUUCAUUGCAGCUUUUUUUGUUUCUUAUAAUUUUAUACUUUCAUAUUUUGCCUUGGUUAUGUCUAAUAGUUAUGCCGUGUAAGCUUAUAUUGAAAAUGUUGAUACAAGCCAAAUUAGGUUACACAUUGUUCUCUCUCUGACUUUAUGAUAAUUCUUGAUAUGGAUUAAUUGGUUUUACUUUUCAGGACAAAUCUUCUAUAAAAAUUGAAAAAGGUCAAAAAAUAUGUGGCUAAAGUGCUGAUUAGGGAAAGAAAGAAAAAAAAACAGAAAAUUGGUGAUGUAGAGGAUGUCUUUGUUGGAGAUAUAAGACAUAUUGAAAGUCUUGUUCCUGCAAUUCUCACAAUUGCAGUACCACUGAUGUAACAUGGAUAUGAUCUAAACCAAGAAAUAAUAGCUAUGAGGUAUGUACUUAAUCUAUGAUCUAAACCAAGGAAUGUUAUGUGUGAUCUAUUUUGGUGUUGGCCCCCUCAAUGUUUUGGUUGUGCUGCUGUUGUGAUUGGCGUGUGCGUGUUGCCUGAGAUAUUUUUUGCCGUUGUUUUAAUUUUUAGUUUUGUUGUAUUUGGGGCAGUUCUGUUUUCUUUCUCCCUGUUAGUGGUUUAUUAUUGGGUUUUGGUUCAUGUUGUGGUAGUAGUUUCAUGUGUUUGGUAAGGUUUGGCUAAGUCCAUGUUUGUGUUUAGUUUGCUACUGAAACCUCUGUUAUGAUGUUUAAACUUAAUUAAUGGUCUAUUCUUUUAAAUUUACUUUAGGUUCUAUGAUGUCAAUGCUAGUUGUAAGUUUUUUCUUCAAGUUUACUUAAAUCAAUGGUCUAUUCUUUUAAAUUUACUUCAGGUUCUUGAAAUGGCAGAGCUAAGCAUGUGACGUAACUUGAGCCUUGAGGUUUAGGCAGUUGCAAUAGGAUUAGCGUUUUCAAAUGGAGGACAGUGAACUUGAUUUCUCGCCUCUGGUCUGUGUUAAUCUUCUAGCUGCUGCUAAGUUUGCGUUCAUCUUCCUCCAUGUUGGGUUUGCGUUCAUAGCUGUCCUUGAUGGGUGUAUCUCCUUGUCGAGAUGGAUACUAAUGAAAAUGAUGUGAUGAAGUUCAACUUUAGUUACUUUUUGUUAUAUAUUUUUGUUAAAUUAAUCAUAUGUAUUUUUGUGUUUGACAACUUUAAGUUUGAUAUUAUUAUAUAGUGUCGUAAUGGCAUACUUGAUACUUUGUAAGAAUGACAUACAUUUUUAUGUUAAUGUUUCAAAUUUGGUGUCAA